GGGAGCCUGAGCUGGGGCUAAGGUUUGCUGGAUUUUCCAGUCUCAUCCACUUACUGUGCUUGGCAACCUCUGUCGAGUGACUUCCCACUUGAAGAAGUAGCUAUUACUUCCUGCUUGCUUCCAGGAUGGAUAGAAGCCAGAGAGUUGCCAAAGAUACCAUGAUGACCCUUAACACAACAAUUUGGAGAGCCUGGACUCUGUAAAACCUUUGAUACAGUGAUUUCUUUAUGUGGCCAUAACAUGUCAGCUCACACGUCAAGGUCUAAAAUGGCAAAUGCUCCCUAUCACCUUCCAGCCCCCACCAGCCACGGUCACAGGUGGGGGUUGGACACCUUGCGGGAAUGUGUGCAGCUCCACCUUUGCCGUUGGAAGUCAGGAACCGUCAGCUCCUCCUUUCCAGGAAACAGAGCAUGACCCAGAGAAUAAAGUUUUCCAUUUCCUACCCUCA